CUCUUCUUCUACGGCGAGACAGAAAGGUCAUUUGUGGCUCACUGCCGCCGCCUGCAGGAAGGAACUGAAAAAGACGACGUCCUGCAAAAACAUUUCCCCACCUCCGCUGCCUCCACCCACAGCAUGCAGAAGCUUACAGACCAUCUCUCAGCUUGAACACCCUCCUCCACCCUCCUCCACCGUCCUCCCCCGUGACUGUGGCAGCCCACGGCCUCCCUGUGAAGGCCGACAUUGUCGUGCUCGCACACAAAAUCACGAAUGCGGUGGGUUUGCCUCCAUGUGACUGACAACAGUAAUUACCUCCUUUCCCACGCCUCAUCAGCGCAUCUGAAAAGUCAGUACAGCUGAGCUCUUGGACUUCAGCAACAGAAGCAUCAAUUUCAGACUCACAUAACGUGGUGGAUGAAUCAGGGCUGGGAAGGUGACGGAGGAGCACAGCACACGGCAGGCCCCUUCAGGCAGAGCCAUCGACCUCCAGCUGCUCCAGUGAAGCUGUGUGUGUGUGUGUGUGUGUGUGUGUGUGUGUGUGUGUGUGUGUG